rnacentral:rRNA from 1 species
GGAAGAUUAAUACAAGAUGGCAUCAUGGAGUCCGCAUGUUCACAUGUUUAAAGGUAUUCCGGUAGACGAUGGGGAUGCGUUCCAUUAGAUAGUAGGCGGGGGUGACGGCCCACCUAGUCUUCGAUGGAUAGGGGUUCUGAGAGGAAGGUCCCCCACAUUGGAACUGAGACACGGUCCAAACUCCUACGGGAGGCAGCAGUGAGGAAUAUUGGUCAAUGGGCGAGAGCCUGAACCAGCCAAGUAGCGUGAAGGAUGACUGCCCUAUGGGUUGUAAACUUCUUUUAUAAAGGAAUAAAGUCGGGUAUGCAUACCCGUUUGCAUGUACUUUAUGAAUAAGGAUCGGCUAACUCCGUGCCAGCAGCCGCGGUAAUACGGAGGAUUCGAGCGUUAUCCGGAUUUAUUGGGUUUAAAGGGAGCGUAGAUGGAUGUUUAAGUCAGUUGUGAAAGUUUGCGGCUCAACCGUAAAAUUGCAGUUGAUACUGGAUAUCUUGAGUGCAGUUGAGGCAGGCGGAAUUCGUGGUGUAGCGGUGAAAUGCUUAGAUAUCACGAAGAACUCCGAUUGCGAAGGCAGCCUGCUAAGCUGCAACUGACGUUGAGGCUCGAAAGUGUGGGUAUCAAACAGGAUUAGAUACCCUGGUAGUCCACACGGUAAACGAUGAAUACUCGGUGUUUGGGAUAUAAGGCGAGGGGCCAAGCGAAUAGAGUUGAAGUAUUCCACGUGGGGGAGUACGCCGGCAAACGGUGAAAUUCAAAGGAAUUGACGGGGGCCCGCACAGGCGGAGGAACAUGUGGUUUAAUUAGAUGAUACGCGAGGAACCUUACCCGGGCUUAAAUUGCAGAAGAAUUACGGUGAAAAGCCGUAAGCCGCAAGGCAUCUGUGAAGGUGCUGCAUGGUUGUCGUCAGCUCGUGCCGUGAGGUAGUCGGCUUAAGUGCCAUAACGAGCGCAACCCUUGUUGUCAGUUACUAACAGGUUUCGCUGAGGACUCUGACAAGACUGCCAUCGUAAGAUGUGAGGAAGGUGGGGAUGACGUCAAAUCAGCACGGCCCUUACGUCCGGGGCUACACACGUGUUACAAUGGGGGGUACAGAGGGCCGCUACCACGCGAGUGGAUGCCAAUCCCAAAAACCUCUCUCAGUUCGGACUGGAGUCUGCAACCCGACUCCACGAAGCUGGAUUCGCUAGUAAUCGCGCAUCAGCCACGGCGCGGUGAAUACGUUCCCGGGCCUUGCACUCACCGCCCGUCAAG